rnacentral:rRNA from 1 species
CCUACGGGGUGCAGCAGUAGGGAAUAUUGCUCAAUGGGGGAAACCCUGAAGCAGCAACGCCGCGUGGAGGAUGAAGGUUCUCGGAUUGUAAACUCCUUUUGUUAGAGAAGAUAAUGACGGUAUCUAACGAAUAAGCACCGGCUAACUCCGUGCCAGCAGCCGCGGUAACACGGAGGGUGCAAGCGUUACUCGGAAUCACUGGGCGUAAAGAGCGCGUAGGCGGGAUAGCAAGUCAGAUGUGAAAUCCUAGGGCUUAACCAUAGAACUGCAUUUGAAACUGUUAGUCUAGAGUAUGGGAGAGGUAGGUGGAAUUCUUGGUGUAGGGGUAAAAUCCGUAGAGAUCAAGAGGAAUACUCAGUGCGAAGGCGACCUGCUAGAACCUAACUGACGCUGAUGCGCGAAAGCGUGGGGAGCAAACAGGAUUAGAUACCCCUGUAGUC